CUUCAUUAUCACUUUUACUCCAUUUUGGAGGAAAUAAUGGAGUUUUACAUUGGAGAUGCUCUAAAUGGGGUCAAGUAUCUUUCUCGUUUUGUACUUUAGGUUUUAUAUAUUUUAAUUGAUUUAAUUAAUUAUUUAUUUCAUCGCUUCUUUUAUUCAAAUCUAAUUACAUUUUUUGUAAUAAAUUCAUAAUCUAACGAAAAAUUAUUGAAAAAAAGACAAAUAAAAUAAAACCAAUGAUUAAUGAUGCAAAACAAAGAGAACAAAAAGAGUUAUACAAAAGUGUAAAAAAAGAUCUAAAUAAAAUUAAAUUUUUACCAAAAACAUGAAAUUAAUUACUAAAGCAUUUUAAACGAUCAGUAUAUUUUAAUGACAAAAAUAAUUAUUUUUAUUUAUGAGAAAGCAAAUGCAUUGUUUUGAGCUUACAAAAAAAACUGUUUGGUUUUGUUUGUAAACAGAAGUAUGUUUUAUGCGUUUAAUUGUCAUAAAUUAUGUAAAAAAAAGGAAGAUAUUUUUUCUCGAAGAAACAUUAAAUGUUUGGGUGGGAAAAUAAUUGUUGAAAUAGUACGUAAAGUGAGCCUAAUUUUAUAUUUUCCAAACUAUAAUUUGCAUUUGAGAACAUAUUGAUGUUGGCAGAUAACAUGUGAGAGGGAGUUGUGAGAGAGGGAGAUGAGCGGUAGAUGGAACUGUAACGGCAGCAACCGAAUAAAUUAAAUAAAUAAAUAAAUAAAUUAGGGAAAAAACAUAUCCAAAUGGAGUAAGAUAUUAAGAUUUUGCCUCUAAAUACAUGUCAAGUAUCAUACUCGUUGUGUACUCUAAGUUUUAUAUACUUUUUAAUUGAAUUAAUUAUUUAUUUUAUCACUUGUUUUAUUCAAAGAGAAAUACCACAGGAUAGCUCUAAAAAGGUUUUGGUCACAAACAUAGACUCUAAUGAUCAAAAUGACUAAAAUGUUUCAUUAAAUAGAUAAAUAUACAUUUAUAUCCCUAGGGUUAACUAAUUCAAACCAUAGGGUUUAGAGUUAAGGGGUUGGAAUUUGUGAUUGAGGUUUAAAAUUUUAUAAAAUAAAAAAUAAAUAUUAAAUUUUGAAAUAAAAAUUUUAAAAAUAGUUUCAAAUAGUAUUUUCGAAUUACAAAAAGAAAAUUUGAAAAAAAAUAUAUAUAUAUUUUCGAAAAAAAUAUAUAUAUUUUCGAAAAAAAUAUAUAUAUUUUCGAAAAAAAUAUAAAAAAUUCGAAAUGAAAACAUAUAAUCCUAAACUAUAUAAAAAAAUUAUUUUUAUUAUUUUUAUUAUUAUUAUUUUUAAAUUUUUAAUUUAUAUUUUUUAAUAUAUCUAGGGUAUUACGGUCCUUUUACCUAUUUAAAUGAAACAUUUUUGUCAUUUUCUUCCUUGUGGUCUAUUUUUGUGACCAAAACUUAAAAAUUGUUUGUUUAGGAGAAUUGCCCAUAUUCAAAUCUAAUUACAUUUUAUUGUAAUAAAUUUAUAAUCUAGCGAAAGAUUAAUGAAAACAUGACAAAUACAAUAAAAACCAAUGAUUAAUAAUGCAAAACAAAGCGAACAAAAGGAAUUAUACAAAAAAAGUGUAAAAAGAGAUCUAAAUGAAAUUAAAUUUUUACCAAAAACAUGAAAUUAAUUACUAAAGCACUUUAAACGAUCAGUAUAUUUUACUGAUAAAAAUAAUUAUUUUUAUUUCUGAGAAAGCAAAUGCAUUGGUUUGAGCUUACACAAAAAAAACUUCAUUGUUUUGUAUGUAAACAAAAGUAUGUCUUAUGCGUUUAAUUGUCGUAAAUUAUGUUUUAAAAAAAAGAAAAUAUUUUUUCUGGAAUAAAUAUUAAAGGUUUGGGUGUGAGAUAUAAUUGAUGAAAUGUUACGUAAAAUGAACCUAAUUUUAUAUUUUCCAAACUAUAAUUUGCAUUUGAGAACAUAUUGAUGGUCGUAUAUAACAUGUGAGAGGGGGGGGGGGGGUUGUGAGAGAGGGAGAUGAGCUGCAGAUGGAACGGCAGAAACCAAAUAAAUUAAAUAAAUAAAAAUAAAUAAGGAAAAGCAUAUCCAAAUGGAGUAAAAUAUUAAGAUUUGCCUCUAAAUACACGUCAAGUAUCAUAAUCGUUGGGUACUCUAGGUUUUAUAUACUUUAGAGUUUGGAGUUAAGGGGUGUGAAUUUGGGAUUGAGGUUGAAAAUUUUAUAAAAUAAAAAAUUAAAGUUAAAACUUUGAAAAUAAAAUUUUUAAAAUAGUUUCAAAAAAUAUUUUAGAAUUACGAAAAGAAAAUUUCAAAAAAUAAUAUAUAUUUCAAAAAUCAAAUUAUAAAAAAGUUUGAAUUUGAAAACAUAUAAUCUAAAUUAUAAAUAAAAUUAUUUAUUAUUAUUAUUAUUAUUAUUUUUUAAUUUUUACUUUAUUUUUUUAUAUAUUUUUUUAAUAUAUCUAGCGUAUUAUGGUAGUUUUACCUAUUAAAUGAAAUAUUUUUGUCAUUUUCUUCCUUACGGUCUAUUUAUGUGACCAAAACUUAAAUAUGGUUUAUUUAAGAGAAUUGUCCAUAUUCAAAUCUAAUUACAUUUUUUGUAAAAAAUUUAUAAUCUAGCGAAAGGUUAAUGAAAACAAGACAAAUAAAAUAAAAACCAAUGAUUAAUGGUACAAAACAAAAAGAACAAAAGGAGUUAUACAAAAGUGUAAAAAGUGAUCUAAAUGAAAUUAAUUUU